ACUAUAUACUGUGGGACUAGAUACUGUGGGACUAGAUACUGUGGUUCUAGGUACUGUGAGAUGAGAUACUGUGGGACUAGGAACUGUGGGACUAGAUACUGUGUUAGCACUGGAGAUACUGUGGGACUAGAUACUGUGGGACUAGAUACUGUGGGAUGAGAUACUGUGGGACUAGAUACUGUGGGACGAGAUACUGUGGGAUGAGAUACUGUGGGACUAGAUACUGUGGGACUAGAUACUGUGGGACUAGAUACCAUGGGACUAGGUACUGUGGGCUAUAUACUGUGGGACUAGAUACCAUUGGACUAGGUACUGUGGGACUAGAGACUGUGUUAGCACUGGAGAUAAUAUGGGACUAGGUAUUGUGGGACUCAAUUCCAUUGGACUAGUUACUGUGGUACUAGGUACUGUGGGACUAGUUGCUGUGGGACCAGGUACUGUGGGACUAAAUACUGUGGGACUAGAUACCGUGGGACUAGAUACUGUGGGACUAGGCAUUGUGGGACUAGAUGCUGUGGGACUAGAUACUGUUGGACUAGAUGCUGUGGGACCAGAUACUGUGGGACUAGAUACCAUGAGACUAGAUACCAUGGGACUAUAUACUGUGGGACUGGAUACUGUGGGACUAGAUGCUGUUGGACUCAUUACCAUGGGACUAGAUACUGUGGGACUUGGUACUGUUGGACUCACUACCAUGGGACUAGAUACUGUGGGACUCAUUAUCAUGGGACUCGGUACUGUGGGACUAAGUACUGUUGGACUCAUUACCAUGGGACUAGAUACUGUGGGACUAGGUACUGUGAGACUCAUUAUCAUGGGACUAGAUAAUGUGGGACUCAUUAUCA
ensembl:lncRNA